rnacentral:rRNA from 1 species
GAUGAACGCUAGCGACAGGCUUAACACAUGCAAGUCGAGGGGCAGCAUGAUUUGUAGCAAUACAGAUUGAUGGCGACCGGCGCACGGGUGAGUAACGCGUAUGCAACUUACCUAUCAGAGGGGGAUAGCCCGGCGAAAGUCGGAUUAAUACCCCAUAAAACAGGGGUCCCGCAUGGGAAUAUUUGUUAAAGAUUCAUCGCUGAUAGAUAGGCAUGCGUUCCAUUAGGCAGUUGGCGGGGUAACGGCCCACCAAACCGACGAUGGAUAGGGGUUCUGAGAGGAAGGUCCCCCACAUUGGUACUGAGACACGGACCAAACUCCUACGGGAGGCAGCAGUGAGGAAUAUUGGUCAAUGGGCGUUAGCCUGAACCAGCCAAGUAGCGUGAAGGAUGAAGGCUCUAUGGGUCGUAAACUUCUUUAUACGGGAAUAAAGUGAGGCACGUGUGCCUUUUGUAUGUACCGUAUGAAUAAGGAUCGGCUAACUCCGUGCCAGCAGCCGCGG